CAGGUCAGGAUGGAGCAGGGCACCCAGGUCAGGAUGGAGCCCUCAUCUCUGGACCCCUCCAUGGGGACUCUCUUGCACGACACAGUGCAGCUUCUCCUACACAGAACCUCUGCUGAUAGCAUCAAGGCUGAAAUUGGCACCACCACCAAGGAAGCAGAAUAGAAAGCAAAGAGGGUUGCCUCCCUGGCACAUACAUCAGGUUGACUGACAUUAUCUAAAGGAGACAUGGGUCUCUGCUCCCUGAGGAAGCAAGGAAGUGUCAAAUCUGGAGAGAUGUGCCAGACCAAAGGUCCCCCAAGCAUUUCUUCCAGGUGGCUGUCUGACAUAUGACACAGAACGGGCUUGGCUCAGAUCUCUGGCAUGAGUCUCUGCCCAUUGGCCUGGCUGCAGGACACACCAAGCCCAAGGGUCUCAUCCAUGUGCCAGACACUCUGGAGAUACAGAAGUUCAUGGAAAUAGACUUAACCCCAUCUCUCUGGUUGGAGAGGAAGCUUGGCAGGAGCCAUGAACAGCAUGUUUUCACUCUACAUGGAGUACUGCUUCUAAGGUAGACAGGAAGAGCCUGGCUAUACUUGUUGGGGGCAUUAUUCAAGUCAGUGUCUGUUGUAUAUUCCUCAAGAAUAUUUGAAACUUGAAGUAAAAUAAAACAUACUCCCACCUGG